UACGAAGGGGGCUAGCGUUGUUCGGAAUUACUGGGCGUAAAGCGCACGUAGGCGGAUUUGUAAGUCAGGGGUGAAAUCCUGGAGCUCAACUCCAGAACUGCCUUUGAUACUGAGAAGCUUGAGUCCGGGAGAGGUGAGUGGAACUGCGAGUGUAGAGGUGAAAUUCGUAGAUAUUCGCAAGAACACCAGUGGCGAAGGCGGCUCACUGGCCCGGUACUGACGCUGAGGUGCGAAAGCGUGGGGAGCAAACAGG
rnacentral:rRNA from 1 species